GACGAACGCUGGCGGCGUGCUUAACACAUGCAAGUCGAACGGAAAGGCCCUGCUUUUGUGGGGUGCUCGAGUGGCGAACGGGUGAGUAACACGUGAGUAACCUGCCCUUGACUUUGGGAUAACUUCAGGAAACUGGGGCUAAUACCGGAUAGGAGCUCCUGCUGCAUGGUGGGGGUUGGAAAGUUUCGGCGGUUGGGGAUGGACCCGCGGCUUAUCAGCUUGUUGGUGGGUAGUGGCUUACCAAGGCUUUGACGGGUAGCCGGCCUGAGAGGGUGACCGGCCACAUUGGGACUGAGAUACGGCCCAGACUCCUACGGGAGGCAGCAGUGGGGAAUAUUGCACAAUGGGCGGAAGCCUGAUGCAGCAACGCCGCGUGCGGGAUGACGGCCUUCGGGUUGUAAACCGCUUUCGCCUGUGACGAAGCGUGAGUGACGGUAAUGGGUAAAGAAGCACCGGCUAACUACGUGCCAGCAGCCGCCGUAAAAC
rnacentral:rRNA from 1 species